rnacentral:lncRNA from 1 species
GUAGCACCAAAGUGACCUGCCCGGGCACAAGCCUGGUGUGUUGGCCUGUGAAUCUGAUUCAGAGGCUGAACCGGAGGAAUCCCAGCCUGCACAAGAGUCCCCGCCUCCAGAACCAGCUGAGCCGGGGCAGAGGCUUGAAUCUGAAGGGCUCUCACCUGUGCUGGAUCUUCAGGAGCAGACACCAGCUGAAUCUGCUCUGGCUCCGGAGGUGAUCGAGGACCCAUUGCCUGCAGGUGCUCCUCUCCCAACCCUGUCAUGGGAAGGUGAGGUUGCCUCUGGGUCCAGUAACCCUCCAGCCUCUCCUGAGCUGCAGAGGCUCAAGGCAGAGAGGCGGACGGAACUAAGCUCUCUCAGGCGGAGUGCUCGCCUUAAGGCCAGGGGAGGCGAGUCACCUGUGGGCCUGGACCGCCCCAGGCCUCAGAGGAGAUAAAGGCCAGUCAGCCCAGUCCCAGGUUGCGGGAGCAACAUUGUUGGUAGCCUGUUCCUGCCAGCACCCUGUCCUGCUCUUCUGCCAGAGUUCCUGACCACGCCUGACUCCCUACCUUGGACCCCACUUCUGCUUCGGACCACGCCACACGGUAACCGCCCGAGACCAGCACACCUGGCCAUAGUAUAUUUAAGCCCUAGCAACAAGACCACCCUCUCAGUUUCACUGAUGUGGUCCAAAGGAAAGCAGAGCAACACAUUUGGCACCAGCUUUGUGGAGGAGUUGUCAAAAGGAGGCAUACAACCAUCUUAGGGACUCCAGAUUUGGUAGGGCUUACUCCUUAGCUUUUCCUUCUCCUGAAGAUGUCCCACAAGGCAGCAGGUAUGGGUUUUUCCAUGGAGUUUCCUCCUGAAGCCUUUCUCACAGAUGUGUAUAGCUGCAAGGCAGUGGAAGUUUAGGGUCAGAGGUUUCCUUCUCCUAAGUGGACUACCUUCCAAGGUGGACCAGCCCCAUCUGCUCCUCACUACCCUCUACAGCACAUGCAGAUUUCAUUUUACAGAUUUGUAAGAAGCUGAACAUGGAUUAAAAGCCAUAUAAGGAAACUUAGUAG